rnacentral:lncRNA from 1 species
CUUUCGCUCGUCCGUCCGUCGUCCGUCGCCCGUUCGUCGUCCGCCCGCCCGUCCGUCCGUCUGGGCCGCGGUCCGCGGUCCAUGGUACCAACAGUACUCCCCCCUUCCUUGGCAGGCCCGGGGGCCUGGGGCCGUCCGCCCCCCUUUCGUCCGUCCGUCGUCCGUCGCUUUCGCUCGUCCGUCCGUCGUCCGUCGCCCGUUCGUCGUCCGCCCGCCCGUCCGUCCGUCUGGGCCGGCUGGUCCGCGGUCCAUGGUACCAACAGUACUCCCCCCUUCCUUGGCAGGCCCGGGGGCCUGGGGCCGUCCGCCCCCCUUUCGUCCGUCCGUCGUCCGUCGCUUUCGCUCGUCCGUCCGUCGUCCGUUGCUUUUGCUCGUCCGUCCGUCGUCCGUCGUCCGUCCGUCGUCCGUCCUUCUUUCUCUCCGCCGAGAUCCACCUUCUUUCGCUUUCUGCUUGAUCGUUGGUCGCUUUCCCCCUUCCUCUAGCUUUCGCUCCCCGUUUGCCUUUCGCUCUCGCUUUUCCCCUUCAAUUGUUUGUUUCGGAGAAGCGGCCUGGGCCUUUCGGACGUUCCCGUGUGGCCUUGCGGCACCGGGGACCUUCCGUUGGCCUUUUCGGCGGGCUUUUCCCCUUCAAUUGUUUGUUUCGGAGAAGCGGCCUGGGCCCUUCGGACGUUCCCGUGUGGCCUUGCGGCACCGGGGACCUUCCGUUGGCCUUUUCGGCGGGCUUUUCCGAUUUGCGUUUGCUCGGGGAAGCGGCCUGGGCCCAGGCGGAUUGUCUCACGUGGUCGUCCGACCUCAAGACUUCUCCGCCGGCCUUUUCGGCGGGCUUCUCCAGCUCUCGUUUUCCCGGGGGAGCGGCCUGGGUCCAGGCGGAUUGUCUCACGUGGUCGUCCGACCUCAAGACCUCUCCGCCGGCCUUUUCGGCGGGCUACCCCUUUUCCUUUACCUCAAUAUUUUUAAAGGGAGCGGCCUGGGCCGUGCGGAUUUCGGCGGGCUCGUCCGUCCGUCCGUCCCUCUUUUCGUCCGUCGUCCGUCGUCCGUCCGUCGUCCGUCCGUCGUCCGUCCGUCGNNN